rnacentral:rRNA from 1 species
AUCGAUGAAGAACGCAGCGAAAUGCGAUAAGUAAUGUGAAUUGCAGAAUUCAGUGAAUCAUCGAAUCUUUGAACGCACAUUGCGCCCCCUGGUAUUCCGGGGGGCACACCUGUUCGAGCGCCAUUUCAACCCUCAAGCCCCGCUUGGUGAUGGGCCCCGCCCGCGGGCGGGCCCGAAACUCGCAGGCGCCACCCUCCGGCCUCAAGCGUAGCAAAACCCUCGCUUGGGCGCCCGGGCGGCGGCAGCCCCGAACGAAAUAUCACAAGGUUGGCCUCGGAUCAGGUGGGGAUACCCGCUGAACUUAAGCAUAUCAAUAAGCGGAGGAAAAGAAACCAACAGGGAUUACCUCAGUAACGGCGAGUGAAGCGGUAACAGCUCAAAUUUGAAAUCUGGCUCUUUCAGGGUCCGAGUUGUAAUUUGUAGAAGAUGCUUCGGGUGUGGCUCCGGUCUAAGUUCCUUGGAACAGGACGUCAUAGAGGGUGAGAAUCCCGUAUGUGACUGGCUGCCUCCGCCCAUGUGAAGCUCUUUCGACGAGUCGAGUUGUUUGGGAAUGCAGCUCAAAAUGGGUGGUAAAUUUCAUCUAAAGCUAAAUAUUGGCCAGAGACCGAUAGCGCACAAGUAGAGUGAUCGAAAGAUGAAAAGCACUUUGGAAAGAGAGUUAAACAGUACGUGAAAUUGUUGAAAGGGAAGCGCUUGCAAUCAGACUUGCGCGUUGCCGAUCAUCUGGGGUUCUCUCCAGUGCACUCGGUAGCGCUCAGGCCAGCAUCGGUUUGGGUGGUGGGAUAAAGGCCUUGGGAAUGUAGCUUCUUUCGGGGAGUGUUAUAGCCCUCGGUGCAAUGCCGCCUAUCCGGACCGAGGACCGCGCUUCGGCUAGGAUGCUGGCGUAAUGGUUGUAAGCGACCCGUCUUGAAACACGG